rnacentral:tRNA from 1 species
UAGCCUAGUGGUUAAGGCUGUGGAUUGUCAAUCCGGAAACGGCGGGAUCGAUUCCCGU